rnacentral:misc_RNA from 1 species
AAGUCGUAACAAGGUUUCCGUAGGUGAACCUGCGGAGGGAUCAUUACACAAUAACCAGGCGGGCUGGACACCCCCCGCUGGGCACUGCUUCACGGCGUGCGCGGCGGGGCCGGCCCUGCUGAAUUAUUCACCCGUGUCUUUUGCGUACUUCUUGUUUCCUGGGUGGGCUCGCCCGCCCUCAGGACCAACCACAAACCUUUUGCAAUAGCAAUCAGCGUCAGUAACAACGUAAUUAAUUACAACUUUCAACAACGGAUCUCUUGGUUCUG